AUGAUAAGAGGAAAUAGGGUCAUGGAGAAUGGAAUGCAGCUCAGUUACGUGGCCUCGAAAGUGGUAGAUGGAGGUUAUGAGGUAGAAAUUGAAGAUGAAGACAUGGAGGAGGAACUCAAAUACUGGGAGUCGGCUCUAAUAAUUUGCCGGAGGUAUAUUACAAUGAUGAAGGCUACUUCAUCCUUCGGUUCAAAGCUAUGA